GAUUUGACUCCUCAUGGGAAACUCUACAUCUUGGUAAGCAGAAAUGAUCAAGAGGAGAGGGUGAUGGAACCUACCAACGAGGACAAGGAUUUCCCCAGUCAGAUUUGAUACUCUACAUCAAUGAAGAAAAGAAGAAAUCCAUAGAUGACUGCAAAUUUCAGGGCUGAUGUUAAACUUGAUAUGAGACAAAGUUUUGGCAAGGCAUUAAGACUUGGCAAGGCAUGUAUCAAGAUGCUUUCAUGAAGAUAUUUUGGAAACUUCAAGAUCUGUGAAGGAUUUUGGACAAAAAAGACGUGGCUUAGGAAUGGAGAAUAAGGAGGAUUAAAUUCAAGAUAGGUAGUUGACUUUGGUAAACUUUUGACCUAAAAGUCAACAGUUGACCAAAAGUCAACCUAGGUCAAAAUUAGGGUUUUCUUUAUGUGUGCUUUGUAAAUUUGGAUUUUGGAUUUUUGUAAUGUAAUGUUUGAUAUUGUAAUGAAAUUGACCUUUGAAAAUGAAUAAUGUCUUGUUCUUUGAAA